GCCGGGCGCGGUGGCGGGCGCCUGUAGUCCCGGCUACUCGGGAGGCUGAGGCAGGAGAAUCGCUUGAACCCGGGAGGCGGAGCUUGCAGUGAGCUGAGAUCUGGCCACUGCACUCCGGCCUGGGCGACAGAGCGAGACUCUGUCUCAA
ensembl:misc_RNA Metazoa_SRP Metazoan signal recognition particle RNA